CCACGGAGUUCGCAUGCCCACAAACACAUGAUGAAAACAAACAACUGCAUUUGAUGAAGACCCUUUUGCCACAGCUGGAGGCUGCAGAUUACGUAUUCAGGUAUUCAUGGUUUUCGGCUCGAAUUCCUCCAAAACGUUACGACAGAUAUGUCACCCCGUCUGCCAGCUUGUUGAAGGCUAAUUCUUCAGAGCUCACGAUGAUUGGUCAGUUCUACAACAGCUUUCACGUGCCACACCACAGCUCACAUAUAGUCGGUUGAUCAUUUAUGUGAAAUUGUGAAAUAAAAAUAAAAACGUUUAA